UACGGGGGGGGCAAGCGUUGUUCGGAAUUACUGGGCGUAAAGGGCUCGUAGGCGGCCAACUAAGUCGGACGUGAAAUCCCCAGGCUCAACCUGGGAACUGCGUCCGAUACUGGAUGGCUUGAAUCCGGGAGAGGGAUGCAGAAUUCCGGGUGUAGCGGUGAAAUGCGUAGAUAUCUGGAGGAAUACCGGUGGCGAAGGCGGCAUCCUGGACCGGCAUUGACGCUGAGGAGCGAAAGCCAGGGGAGCAAACGGG
rnacentral:rRNA from 1 species